CGGCGGACCCUGCGUAGCUCCAUUACUCUCUGACAGGCCGUAUUAACGGCCACGAUUCUGCUCCACUCCCUGCGGUGGAUUCUGUGCGAUUCCACCACUCCCUGAUGAGUCACGACAGCGGACGCCGCUCCACUCCCCGUAACUGAUUCCACGUGGCGAGCCACGGCGAUAGCCACGAUCCCGCUCCACUGCCCUCCGCAAUAAAUUUCUCCUGACUCUGGG
rnacentral:lncRNA from 1 species